rnacentral:rRNA from 1 species
AGCAGUAGCCGCGGGAAUACGGAGGGGGCUAGCGUUGUUCGGAAUUACUGGGCGUAAAGCGCACGUAGGCGGCUUUGUAAGUUAGAGGUGAAAGCCCGGAGCUCAACUCCGGAAUUGCCUUUAAGACUGCAGAGCUAGCAGGUGAGAGAGGUGAGUGGAAUUCCGAGUGUAGAGGUGAAAUUCGUAGAUAUUCGGAAGAACACCAGUGGCGAAGGCGGCUCACUGGCUCAUACUGGACGCUGAGGUGCGAAAACGUGGGGAGCAAACAGGAUUAGAUACCCCAGUAGUCCCUGUCUCUUAUAA